rnacentral:rRNA from 1 species
UACGUAGGUGGCGAGCGUUGUCCGGAUUUACUGGGCGUAAAGCGCGCGCAGGCGGCAGUCUAAGUCCUCUGUGAAAUCACCCGGCUCAACUGGGUGGCUGCGGAGGAGACUGGGCAGCUUGAGGGGCCUAGAGGCCGGUGGAGCUCCCGGUGUAGUGGUGAAAUGCGUAGAGAUCGGGAGGAACACCUGUGGCGAAAGCGGCUCACUGGACCAUAACUGACGCUGAUGCACGAAAGCUGGGGGAGCAAACAGG